UUGCGUUUGACGUAAGCUCGAGAGGAAGCACUGGCUAACUCUGUGCCAGCAGCCGCGGUAAUACAGAGAGUGCAAACGUUGUUCGGAAUCACUGGGCUUAAAGCGCACGUAGGCGGCAUUGUAAGUGUCGGGUGAAAGCCCACGGCUCACCCGUGGAAUUGCCCGGCAGACUGCAGUGCUCGAGUAUGGUAGGGGAGAGUGGAAC
rnacentral:rRNA from 1 species